GGGAAACUAGUUAAACAUAUAACAUAAGAUUGUCAUUCUUAAUUUACUAAGGUGUAUCUCA
rnacentral:tRNA from 1 species